GCCCACGCUACCAUGAGAGCCAUCUUUGUGAUGACCUCUCUUCCUAGGCGUGGUAGAGUGAUUUCUUGCUUCUUGGCAAUACUUCUGCUUGUGUUCUUGGCAGUGGUAAUGUUUGAGCAAGGAACAUUU
ensembl:snoRNA